UACGUAGGGUGCAAGCGUUGUCCGGAAUCACUGGGCGUAAAGGGCGCGUAGGCGGUCCGGUAAGCGCGUGGUGAAAGCCCGGGGCUCAACCCCGGGUCGGCCGUGCGGACUGCGGGACUCGAGCACUGUAGAGGCGGGCGGAAUUCCGGGUGUAGCGGUGGAAUGCGUAGAGAUUGGAAAGAACACCAAUGGCGAAAGCUCUUUACUGGGCUAUUACUGACACUGAGAGACGAAAGCUAGGGUAGCAAAUGGG
rnacentral:rRNA from 1 species